ensembl:lncRNA MYLK-AS2 MYLK antisense RNA 2
AGACUGAAAAUGCAAAGUGCACAAGAGUCUCUGGCCAGGACAGGCAUUGAAGGUCAGCUUGUUCUCCUCCUGGAGCUCAGCUCUGUGAUCAGGAAACCAAUUGUAAAGUCCAGAAUGAGGACACGGGCUCUACAUGGUGUGGAAUGGCAGUGAGACGGGCUAGGACUUCAGAACUCAACUGAUCACACACAGGAGGGAGAAGAACAACCAAGCUGGGCUUCAAGAUGCCUUAUUUGGACACUAGUUUUUGAUGUGUCUCUGAUGGUUAUUAACCAGACAUUUCAAGGGCAAGAAACUAUUUCCCCAAAACUACCUUUUGAGACAUUUCCAGAGGCUGCCCUGUCCUCUCUGUCCAGAGACUCAGCCCCGACUCACCUCCUCUAGGAAGUCUCCCACACGGACCUCGCUCUGCUCCCUCCUCCUCACGGCUGACCCUGCUGGGUCGUCCUGCCAGCUCGGACACUUGUUUGUUGUGGCUUUUGUAAAAUACUCUGUAGUCA